rnacentral:rRNA from 1 species
GAUGAACGAUGGCGGCGUGCCUAAUACAUGCAAGUCGAGCGAACGGACGAGAAGCUUGCUUCUCUGAUGUUAGCGGCGGACGGGUGAGUAACACGUGGAUAACCUACCUAUAAGACUGGGAUAACUUCGGGAAACCGGAGCUAAUACCGGAUAAUAUUUUGAACCGCAUGGUUCAAAAGUGAAAGACGGUCUUGCUGUCACUUAUAGAUGGAUCCGCGCUGCAUUAGCUAGUUGGUAAGGUAACGGCUUACCAAGGCAACGAUGCAUAGCCGACCUGAGAGGGUGAUCGGUCACACUGGAACUGAGACACGGUCCAGACUCCUACGGGAGGCAGCAGUAGGGAAUCUUCCGCAAUGGGCGAAAGCCUGACGGAGCAACGCCGCGUGAGUGAUGAAGGUCUUCGGAUCGUAAAACUCUGUUAUUAGGGAAGAACAUAUGUGUAAGUAACUGUGCACAUCUUGACGGUACCUAAUCAGAAAGCCACGGCUAACUACGUG